rnacentral:rRNA from 1 species
GCGAAUGGAUUAAGAGCUUGCUCUUUAUGAAGUUAGCGGCGGACGGGUGAGUAACACGUGGGUAACCUGCCCAUAAGACUGGGAUAACUCCGGGAAACCGGGGCUAAUACCGGAUAACAUUUUGAACUGCAUGGUUCGAAAUUGAAAGGCGGCUUCGGCCUGUCACUUAUGGAUGGACCCGCGUCGCAUUAGCUAGUUGGUGAGGUAACGGCUCACCAAGGGCAAC